rnacentral:rRNA from 1 species
UUUGUUAUUAGCCUUCUAUACCUCUUGAAACAUCAAAAUAUCAAGUAUCGGAGAGAAAACUAUAAUAUAUGAUAAGCUAAAAGUACCGUAAGGGAACUAAGACCCUCCAAAAAAGUAAUUUUAAUAAUGUACUUUUUGUAUCACGAUCUAGCAAGUGGCUUAAAAAGUUUUAAAGUCUCGAAAGCUAGUGAGCUAUUUUUCUUAGAUUUUUUAGAAUCAUGGUUCUAAAUGUAGCAAAAUUUAAAUAAUAAAGAAAAAUAGAGAUGAUAUUUCACCCGCACUAGUGAUAGCUAGUUUCUUCAGAAAAAUAUAAAAGUAUUUUAGUAAGGAUUAUUAAUAGUUAUUGUAAGACCAUUAAAUUUCAACCUUUCUAGGAACAUUUUUGAGGAUAAGCUCAAAAAUGCUUUUGAGAUUAGCAUAAGUUAAAUCAAGCUGUGUAGGCCUAAAAUUAGCCACCACAAAAGUUUGUUAUAAAAUAACCAUAAAUAUUAACAAAAAUUUAUAUGCUCCGCGCCGAGUACUAAUGAAGAUAAAAACUAAAAUCAAUACAAGUCUUAUACCUAUGCUAGGAUGAGUAUUACCAAUUUUCUACUUCUAUGAGAUAAAAAUUAUUUCUCAUUCUACGCAUAAUUUUAAAAAAACUAAUUAAAUGAAAGGAACUCGGCAAAAUAAUUGCUUCGCCUGUUUACCAAAAACAUGGCUCUUUGAAUCAAAGAAUAAAGAGUCAAACCUGCCCAGUGAAAUAUUUUUAACGGCCGCGGUACUCUGACCGUGCAAAGGUAGCGUAAUCAUUUGCCUUAUAAUUGAAGGCUAGUAUGAAUGGUUCGACGUGAGCAAUACUGUCUCUCCUUUAUUUCCUAGAAAUUAACUUUUAGGUGAAGAGGCCUAAAUACAAUUAAAGGACAAGAAGACCCUGUCGAGCUUAAAAGACAAAAUAGAAGUUAAUAUCCUGAGAAAUAAAUACUCUGUUAAGCUUUUUAGUUGGGGCGACUAAGGAACAAAUAAAGCUUCUUUCUUAAAAACAAGCUAAUCAGCACAGAUCCAGCACUACCGCUGAUCAAGAAAAUUAGUUACCGCAGGGAUAACAGCAUAAUCUCUCUUGAGAGACCAAAUCGAAAGAGGGGGUUGUGACCUCGAUGUUGGACUAGAAUAUCCGAAAGAUGCAGACGUCUUUAAAGGUUGGUCUGUUCGACCAUUAAAAUUUUACAUGAUCUGAGUUCAGACCGGCGUAAGCCAGGUCAGUUUCUAUCCUUAAUUCUUAUAUUUAUGCUUAGUACGAAAGGAUCAGCUUAAAGGAUAUAAUCCUAUAAUAGAAUAUUUAUAAUAAAUAAAUC